rnacentral:rRNA from 1 species
AGUUAGUUGGUAAGGUAACGGCUUACCAAGGCAGCGAUAGGUAGGGGUCCUGAGAGGGAGAUCCCCCANACUGGUACUGAGACACGGACCAGACUCCUACGGGAGGCAGCAGUGAGGAAUAUUGGACAAUGGGCGAGAGCCUGAUCCAGCCAUGCCGCGUGCAGGAAGACUGCCCUAUGGGUUGUAAACUGCUUUUACAGAGGAAGAACCACCCCCRCGUGUUGGGGUUUGACGGUACUCUGCGAAUAAGGAUCGGCUAACUCCGUGCCAGCAGCCGCGGUAAUACGGAGGAUCCAAGCGUUAUCCGGAAUCAUUGGGUUUAAAGGGUCCGUAGGCGGGCAGUUAAGUCAGUGGUGAAAGUCUUCCGCUCAACGGGAGAACUGCCAUUGAUACUGAUUGUCUUGAGUUAUUAUGAAGUGGUUAGAAUGAGUAGUGUAGCGGUGAAAUGCAUAGAUAUUACUCAGAAUACCGAUUGCGAAGGCAGAUCACUAAUAAUAUACUGACGCUGAUGGACGAAAGCGUAGGUAGCGAACAGGAUUAGAUACCCUGGUAGUCUACGCCGUAAACGAUGGUUACUAGCUGUUCGGCCCAAUUGAGGGCUGAGUGGUUAAGCGAAAGUGAUAAGUAACCCACCUGGGGAGUACGUUCGCAAGAAUGAAACUCAAAGGAAUUGACGGGGGCCCGCACAAGCGGUGGAGCAUGUGGUUUAAUUCGAUGAUACGCGAGGAACCUUACCAGGGCUU